CCUCAGCCACCUUCACUCCCACAUGCCACUAACCAGACCUGUUCAACUCACUGCCAACCACCACAUGAUGUCCUAAAGGCCACCAAUCCUAUUCAGACAUCCCUUUGUAGGGCCUUGCCCAGAGCCUGAAUAGCCAGGAGAGGCCUCAUCCCUGCCUCUGAGUGUCAGCAACGGUGGAAGGAGGUGCCAACCUGGGCCAUCUAGGGAAGGAAGGGACAGACCCCAGGCCACCCACUGACCAGCCCCUGAGAUCCAGGGCUCAGGCAGUGGGGAGGGUGCCUCUGGGACUCAGGAAAUAACUCCAAGCACCUAGUCAUCAUGAAGCGCCUACUACGCACAAAGGACCGUGCUGUUGGGGUGGAAUGAAAAGGGGCCCGGGCAGAAGCCACGUUCGCUGGAAGGCGAGCAGAGCGCCACGAGAAGGCCUUGGAGCAGUGGGAACCCCAACGCCCAGCAUCCCCAACUUCGGCGCGCAGAAGAGCCGCGGACUCCGGAGCUCCGCGCGCGCUCCCAGGGUCGGCGCCGCACGCGCACGCGCGCCCGCAGCCGCUCCCCCGCCCGCACAGCUCUGGCUCCCGCGCGCGCGCACUUGAGGCGUCCCUUGUGCGUCUCCUCCAUUCGCUACGUGCAGAAUGGUCCGUCGGCAGCAGCUGCAGCGCCGGGUGGGAGGGGGAGGAGGAGGGGAGGGGAGGGGGAGGCGGCGCCCAGGUCUGGAGGAGGGGCCGCGGCGGGCCGGGCCGGGGAGAGCUGGGGGAGAGGGGCUGCGCGAGAGCCCGGGUGGGCGCGACGCUUCCCCCGCUCGUCUCCUGCUCGCCAUUGCUUCCUUCUGUGAGGCCAUUACGGCCGUCCCCCUGCUCCCUGCCCCGGCGUCCUGGAGCCCAGCCGACCACGAGGGUUUUUCUCCGUGUUGUAUCUUCCCGAAAACCCAGAACCCAAACCCAAGAAAGAACCACUCCUGUUGUCCUCUCUCCCCUCCUCCAGUCCCAAUGACAUUUCCCGGCUUUUGUGUGAGAUGACCCAAAAGCAAGCCCUUCUCCACUCCUCCUCCAUGCAAUGGGGUCCCUAAAAGCUACCCUCACUCCCCUUCUCUCUUACUCACCUGGAGGAAGGGGAAUGGAGAGGAUGGACACCAGAGCCUCCUAUUUCCCAGCAUUUCCACACAGGGAAGGCAAGCAUCUCACCGUGCGCACUCCGACAGGAGGGCAGGAGGGCGGAAAGGUGGAAUAGCCCAGAAGAGCAGGCUGCUGCCCAGGCCCCUAGGCCACAUCCGAAGGACGUUAAGUCUAGAGCCCCAGGAAGGAGGGCGUCCUGGGUCAGUUUCAUUUCACAUAAACGGACUGUCCCUGGAUCCAGGGAAGCGGAUUCUCCCGUUUCCUCCCCGGUGCCUCAGUCUUUUUGGAGGCGCCCUCUGCUGGCCACUGGGAAGUGCAGGAAAGAACAGAGUCCUGCAGACUCAAAGAGCGUCUACAGAAAGGGACAAGAGGUAGAGGCAACCGGGAGCCAACUGAGAGCGGUGGCUGGACUGCCACAAAUAAGAGAGGCAUGCUGAAGCCUUCUUGGAGGCCCCGUUCCAGACCCAGCCAGGGUGAAGAGGACUCCCAGGGGCGGAGAUCGAGGCCCAGGAGAGAACAGAGAGUAUCCUGCUUUAAUUGGAGAGCAUGAAGAGGUGGGCAAGGAUGUUCUGGAACACUGACCAUAGUCCAUCCUGAAUGGAAUUGGACUGACUCGACCCUCUCAUCUCCUGGAGCAGCUGGGUCUAAAGUGUGUGUGCACGGGUACAGACGUACAGGAGGAAAAUAUUAGGACGUCGCAGGUGCCCCAUAAAGAACCUGUUGAACUGUGAUUUGCCGUGAGCAUGGGAAGGAGAAUUCUGAAGGCAGACCGAUGAACCUUUGCAGAACACCUUCCUGCAGAAAUUAACAGCCACCUCAGCAGCCUGGGGUCCUCUCCAGGCUCACCCACUCCCUGGAGGGGCAUCCCAUCCCCACCUUUUUUCCACCCAGCUCCUGUUUCUUUUUCUGCGCUGCGUUCACUUCAAGUAUGAGCCAAGGGUGACACCUGGUGGCCAUUUCUGUAGCUGCAGAACCCAGAGCGGAGACACCCAACAACAGGAGGGGCGUGAGGUGAGGUCCCGUGGGUGAAGGAGCCAUUCUUUCCAGCACUUUCCCUGCACCUCCUAACUCCCUCUCAGGGCCCAGGGAACAUCCAGGAUGCCCACUCCUCAUUCUGCCUUAGAGCAGCCCCUCCUCACUCCCCCUGAGAACAGCCUGAGCUCUGAAGGUUGCACCUGCCUGAUGAGCAGGGUGACCAAGGAGGCCUCUGCUCAGACCCUGCCCUGGCCCCAGGCAGAAGGCAAAAGGACAAUGGCUACCCUUCCCCAAGUGCUGCGGGCCAAUAGGCAUCAUCUCAUUCAAAUCUUAUCACCAGGGCCUAUUAUGACAACAGAGAAACCAGGUACAGCAAGGUUAAGCAACCUGCUCCGGGUCACAUGGUUCCUAAGUGCCCAAAUGAUGAAAUGAGUGGAACACCUGGCAAGCCUCUGGGGGACAGAGGAGGCCAAAAGGAAGUGGCCUGCCAUUGGGUUAGAAGUGCCAAAUUCCAAUCCAGCCUUGCCCAACAAGUAGAGUGACCUCCUUCAAGGGCCUUCUGCUGGCUGAGCGCCAGUCUCCUUGAUGGUACCAUGCGGUGUUCGAUAGAGCCGUGAUUCUCAACUGACUGUAUGCAAGAAUCACCUGGGGAGAAUGUUUUAAAUACCGACGCUUGCCCCGGCACUGGCUGAUGAAAUCAAUAUCAGUAGGAGUGGGACCGAGGUAUAGGUAUUUUCAAAAUCUUUUUAAAUGACUCAACAUGAAGCCAGGGUUGAGAAGGAGGCCUCUGGGAGAUUCCAUCUUCAGAUCUCCCUGCACUCCAGAGGUCAGCCCCUGAGGCCUCCCUGCUGCCCGGAGGGCUCACCAGAGAAACAGCCCUCUCUCCCCCAGCAUUCCCUGGACAUCUUAACUGGUCCGCCCAGACCCCCAGGACAAGCUGCCUCCCCACCCCCUGGGCCUUCAGGGAGAAUACUGGCUAUCAGUCCUUCCCAGAGGGGGCUCAGCAGGUGUGACCCCACGCCUGGCCUCUGGGGUGGGGGCAUGGAAGGCCACUGGGAGCUUAACCCCAACAGGAUGAAGGCGCCAUAAUUAGGGUCAGGCGGUUGGCUCAGCCUGCGGAAAUCCCCAGCUUAGUAGGGAUGGGGGUGCUUCAGCCUGGGAAGGGGGGUCAGGGCAGAAGUGAGGGGGCAGAGGAGCUCAGGCAUGUGGAAACCCCAGGGCCUAGCCCCUAGCCACCUCCUGAAAGGGCCCUCUAGAAGCUCAACACCGUUACCCCCCCACCCUGGACUCACUGACCGCCCAGGGAGGGAGGGACGGGACGGACCAGCCCCCCAACCCCAGCAGCCCUGCUGCUCCCGUCAGGCUGGGGUGUGCCAGGAUCAUCCCCCUACUCUGGCGUUUGGUGGGAGGACGAGGGCACCGGUGGGAAAGCACUAAGUGAGCGUUCCCAGGGCAACGCAGGCUUCUCUCCAGCCUGUAAUCCUCAGGCCUUGAGUGAGGGAUCACUUUCCUCUGUGGAAUGUAACACGGAGGGGACAAAA
ensembl:lncRNA